rnacentral:lncRNA from 1 species
UCCCUGCUCACUCUGUUACUGCCUGCAAGGUUAUUGCACGGGCUUCCACCAAUUACCAAAUCAAAUCCUCCAAAUGACUCUAUCAGUUGCUCCAAGCGGUCUCCAUUCAGCUGCUGAACAUCGUUAAAAUGUAUAAGAUUCCCUUUCUGAUUAGUUUGCUCCCACCAGCUUCUCACAAUAUCCCUGUUGACUUCAGAUUUUUCCACAGAAACCACUGUGUUUAGUGGAACAUCGUUAAAAUGUAUAAGAUUCCCUCUCUGAUUAGUUUGCUCCCACCAGCUUCUCACAAUAUCCCUGUUGACUUCAGAUUUUUCCACAGAAACCACCGUGUUUAGUGGAAUACCGAGACGAUAAAGAGCAACUUCACCACC